rnacentral:antisense_RNA from 1 species
CUGCACACCUUAAGAUGGUGAAUUUUAUGGUACAUAAAUUACAUCUCAAUAACAUUAAAAAAAAAAAAAAGCAGCAGCAGAUGGCUGCUGGAGGAGGCUGAGCUUAAAUACCCCUGGUUAUACUUUCUCCUUUCCUUGUAUUUACUGGAAGGAGAAGGAUUUGUCCUGAGACAAAUAGUUUUUUCAUCUUCAGAAAUUCCUGAGAAGCUACUACCCUGUCAAGGCAUGAAAAAUUUGAUUACUGCUGACUUGGUACACAGCCUAUUAAUUAGUACCUAAAUAAUUGCAUGUCGCCUCUGUGUCAUGAUUUAUAAUUGUAUGCAUGCUUUGAUCUUUCUCAUCACAGGCAGCACUGAGGAGUAAAGGAAUAUUUGGGAGGAUCAGAAGCUUGGUCCUGAUUUUGCCAUCAACCAGGACCUUGAUGACUUCAAGGGAGUCCCCAAACCCUGGGUUUCUGUUUUCUCAACUCUAACAUGAGGGGCUAGACGCAUCUGGUUUAGUUCGUCUCCAUGAUCCUGUGAAUUUCAGAUGUUGAAAAUCUUCAGAAAAGCCCUGAAAGAUGAAGAGUGGUCUCAAAUAGUCAAGACCCCCUGCUGGGGGGAGCGUCUAUCCUGCUCUGUGGAAGAAAUGGGCAUGCCAGAUGCCUG